GGGAGUAACUAUGACUCUCUU
rnacentral:ncRNA from 3 species